AUGCGCAGAUAUCAGGAGGAACACCGAUGGCGAAGGCAGGUCUCUGGGCCAAUACUGACACUGAGGAGCGAAAGCGUGGGGAGCGAACAGGAUUAGAUACCCUGGUAGUCCACGCCGUAAACGGUGGGCGCUAGUUGUGCGAACCUUCCACGGUUUGUGCGACGCAGCUAACGCAUUAAGCGCCCCGCCUGGGGAGUACGAUCGCAAGAUUAAAACUCAAAGGAAUUGACGGGGCCCCGCACAAGCAGCGGAGCAUGCGGCUUAAUUCGACGCAACGCGAAGAACCUUACCAAGGCUUGACAUAUACAGGAAUAUGGCAGAGAUGUCAUAGCCGCAAGGUCUGUAUACAGGUGGUGCAUGGUUGUCGUCAGCUCGUGUCGUGAGAUGUUGGGUUAAGUCCCGCAACGAGCGCAACCCUCGUUCUGUGUUGCCAGCAUUAAGUUGGGGACUCACAGGAGACUGCCGGGGUUAACUCGGAGGAAGGUGGGGAUGACGUCAAAUCAUCAUGCCCCUUAUGUCUUGGGCUGCACGCAUGCUACAAUGGCUGGUACAAACGGCUGCGAUACCGCAAGGUGGAGCGAAUCCGAUAAAGCCAGUCUCAGUUCGGAUUGGGGUCUGCAACUCGACCCCAUGAAGUCGGAGUUGCUAGUAAUCGUAGAUCAGCAACGCUACGGUGAAUACGUUCCCGGGGCUUGUACACACCGCCCGUCACAUCACGAAAGUCGGUAACACCCAAAGUCAGUGGCCCAACCGUAAGGAGGGAGCUGCCAAAGGUGGGAUCGGUGAUUGGGAUGAAGUCGUAACAAGGUAA
rnacentral:rRNA from 1 species